UACAGAGGGGGCAAGCGUUGUUCGGAAUUACUGGGCGUAAAGGGCGCGUAGGCGGCCUUCUAAGUCGAACGUGAAAUCCCCGGGCUCAACCCGGGAACUGCGUCCGAUACUGGAAGGCUUGAAUCCGGGAGAGGGAUGCGGAAUUCCAGGUGUAGCGGUGAAAUGCGUAGAUAUCUGGAGGAACACCAAUGGCGAAGGCAGCUCGCUGGAACGGUACUGACGCUGAGGCGCGAAAGCGUGGGGAGCGAACAGG
rnacentral:rRNA from 1 species